UCCUGAUGCUACUGGGUUGAUUGUGGAGCCAUUUGAGGCUUAUAUUUCUGACAACAGUGCGGUUAGCCCCUGAGGAAGACCAGUCGGUUGAAACAGCUGUCGGGCUGUGUUUGCUGUACUUCACCAUGCCGUUUGGUUAAGGAAUAAAUCCUGCUUUCCUCUCAUCUACAUUAUCCACCACAUUAGUUGGGCGGGCUCUGGAAGGUGGAGAGAUCAGAGCAGUCAGCCAAGACGUCACCGCCAGAGAAACAUUUCUUCUAAUAAAGCAGUUUCACGUGGGUUGAGCAGGAUGCUGGCAGGUGACCUGCUAUUCCAGGAGUCCAGGAGAACGCCAGAAAUCUGUAGAGCCUUCCGGACAUUUCAGGAGAGUAGAUGCCGACACUACAAGACCUUGGUGCUUCGUGACUAUUAGGAACUUGGAUAUAACAAAGAGGAUGGGCUGAAAUGUCUAUCAGGAGAAACAGAAUGCUAGGGAGCGCCUGAUACAUGUCACACGUAUAAAGGCCCCAUGCAGGUGCCAGGCGGUAUGGAGGGGCGUCUGUAUGCUGAACACGAGCCAUCUACAAUCUCUUCAAAGGAGCUGUGCAUCUAAGCAGCAGAAUUACAGAAUCCCUACAGGGCAGGAACAGCUCUCACACUGGGCGCAGUCACUCCAUACAUACUUACUAUGCUCCAGACCACCGCUUAACCCUGACCGUCAUUCCACAGGCCAAAAUGCACAAACGCUUGCUG